ensembl:lncRNA
CCCGCCCCUCCCUCGGACAGUCGGGGAUGAGUGCGCUAACAUACCUGUAGGUUGCUGUUUAAAUGAGUGUAUGAUGGAAAACGACAGUGGCGGAGUUUGCGCUCUCCAGUCGCAUGAUAGUGUCUUCAGGCAGGUGAAGGGUGGUUUUGCAGGGCAACUGGACAGACCCCACGCCCGAAUCCACCACCUGGGGGACUGAGAGGACAACAAAGAACAUGAGCUGUAGUAAAGCUUCUGGAACAAGUUUGUGUGAGCCGCAGUCAAGGAGCCACCAGAGGACACCUGCUAACCAUCGGCAUUAUGGGUAGUGUAGUAGGAGACACUCACCUGACAUGAAAUAGUGCCGGAAAUGAAAUAAGACCUCCAGAAACCAGAAGAAGAACCAGGAGAACCAGGAGAGCUGUGGCCCAGGACGGAAGCUGUUCUGUGGAGAAACACAGUGUAAAAGGUGCACAGAUUUGGGAUCGAGAUCAGAGCGAGUCCACAUCACUGUGGGGUCCUCAGGAAUAAAACCAGAGAACUGACAGGGCAGCAGGACAGAUCUUUCUCCUUCAUACACCUCCACCACAACAGCCAGGGCAUGCUGGGAAAC